rnacentral:rRNA from 1 species
UACGGGGGGGGCAAGCGUUGUUCGGAAUUACUGGGCGUAAAGAGCGUGUAGGCGGCCACGCAGGUCCGUUGUGAAAACUGGAGGCUCAACCUCCAGCUGUCGACGGAAACCGUAUGGCUAGAGUCCGGAAGAGGAGAGUGGAAUUCCUGGUGUAGCGGUGAAAUGCGCAGAUAUCAGGAAGAACACCAAUGGCGAAGGCAGCUCGCUGGAACGGUACUGACGCUGAGGCGCGAAAGCGUGGGGAGCGAACAGG